AGUGGAUGGGGAGCAACCUAGUUGUGCGUGUGUAAAGGUAGUGCCAAGAAAAGCGAUGAUCAUGUUGAAAAUCAAUUCCCGGUACCCGAAACCGACACAGGUGGGCAAGUAGAGAAUACUAAGGGGCGCGAGGUAACUCUCUCCAAGGAACCCGGCAAAAUGACCCCGUAACUUAGGGAGAAGGGGUGCCACCGAGAGGUGGUCGCAGUGAAGAGGCCCAGGCGACUGUUUAGCAAAAACAUAGGUCUCUGCAAACUCGAAAGAGGAGGUAUAGGGGCUGACGCCUGCCCAGUGCCGGAAGGUUAAAGAAGUUGGUCAGUUAUAGGAUGAAGCUAGCGACUGAAGCCCCGGUGAACGGCGGCCGUAACUAUAACGGUCCUAAGGUAGCGAAAUUCCUUGUCGGGUAAGUUCCGACCCGCACGAAAGGCGUAACGAUCUGGGCGCUGUCUCGGAGAGAGGCUCGGCGAAAUAGGAUUGUCUGUGAAGAUACGGACUACCUGCAUUUGGACAGAAAGACCCUAUGAAGCUUUACUAUAGCUUGGAAUUGUGUUCGGGCUUCCUGUGCGCAGGAUAGGUGGGAGGCGUAGAAGGUAUUCUUGUGGGGAUACUGGAGCCAACGGUGAGAUACCACUCUCAGGAGGCUAGAAUUCUAACUUAAUUAAGGACAGUUUCAGGUGGGUAGUUUGACUGGGGCGGUCGCCUCCAAAAAGGUAACGGAGGCGUACAAAGGUUCCCUCAGACUGGUUGGAAAUCAGUCGAAGAGUGCAAAGGCAGAAGGGAGCUUGACUGCGAGAAGUACAGUUCGAGCAGGGUGGAAACACGGUCUUAGUGAUCCGACGGUGCGGUGUGGAAGGGCCGUCGCUCAACGGAUAAAAGUUACUCUAGGAUAACAGGCUGAUCUCCCCCAAGAGUUCACAUCGACGGGGAGGUUUGGCGCCUCGAUGUCGGCUCAUCGCAACCUGGGGCGGAAGUACGUCCCAAGGGUUGGGCUGUUCGCCCAUUAAAGCGGUACGUGAGCUGGGUUCAGAACGUCGUGAGACAUUUCGGUCCAUAUCCGAUGUAGGCGUGAGAAUAUUGAGAGGAGCCUUCCUUAGUACGAGAGGACCGGGAAGGACGCACCGCUGGUGUACCUGUUAUGAUGCCAAUUGUAAACGCAGGGUAGCCAAGUGCGGAGAGGAUAACCGCUGAAAGCAUCUAAGUGGGAAGCCCACCUCAAGAUGAGUAUUCUGGUGUAAGGUCACGGGAAGACGACCCGUAAAUAGGCACGAGGUGGAAGUGCAGAGAUGUAUGAAGCCGAAGUGUACUAAUAGACCGUCGGCUUGAC
rnacentral:rRNA from 1 species